rnacentral:sRNA from 1 species
UUUUCUAGUGCUCAGAGUACGUAUAGAGCCGAGCGGUCGGAAGUUCGAGCCGAGCGAAGCGAGACAACGUUGCUUUAGCAACGGCCCGUAGGGCGAGGCGUUAGCCGAGUCAUCUUCCUGGGUGCACCA